rnacentral:rRNA from 1 species
AUUGAACGCUGGCGGCAGGCUUAACACAUGCAAGUCGAACGAGCGGCGGACGGGUGAGUAAUGUCUGGGAAACUGCCUGAUGGAGGGGGAUAACUACUGGAAACGGUAGCUAAUACCGCAUACCAUCAGAUGUGCCCAGAUGGGAUUAGCUAGUGGGUGGGGUAAUGGCUCACCUAGGCGACGAUCCCUAGCUGGUCUGAGAGGAUGACCAGCCAAACUGGAACUAAGACACGGUCCAGACUCCUACGGGAGGCAGCAGUGGGGAAUAUUGCACAAUGGGCGAAAGCCUGAUGCAGCCAUGCCGCGUGGGUGAAGAAGGCCUUCGGGUUGUAAAGUACUUUCAGCGAGGAGGCGUUACCCGCAGAAGAAGCACCGGCUAACUCCGUGCCAGCAGCCGCGGUAAUUC